UGAGUCUGUGGUUUGGGCAGCCGUCUGUCGUGUUCGCAGGCGCUGUGGCUGUCGCCGGCGUAUUAUCUGGAGUUCGAGGGCUGGAACACUUUCGCUCUCAUCUGGAUCGCCGGGCUGCUGUUUCUGCUCAUAAACUCUCUCAUACUGGGACAAAUAAUCUCCCAUUACAGACCCGCAGAGGCCCAGCUGAAGAAGACAGACUGACAGACGCCUAUCCUGGAGCUGGAGAGCUGAUUCAGAUGACCACUAGAUGUCGCCCUACAGCAGUUUUACAGAUCUGAUGUUGCACAAGCUGAUAGGAUUUUAAACCCUUAAACACUUUAAACACAAAUUACAUCUUAGACAGAGUCUCAACUUUUACUGGACUUACUUUUCAGACGUGUAAAUGCUUUGUGAUGGUGAUAACGAGUGUUUGUGUCCAUGCAGAAAUGAUCAUGAGUGUGAACAAACAUGUUUAUGAACGAUAUCUACAGUCUGAGGCGUUUCUUACAGGUGUGAGUGAAGAGACAAGCUCCGCCCACCAGACGAUGUCAGCACCAAUAGGAGUGAGUGUUGAGUGGCGGUGGGCGGGGCAUCUGAUGCGGCAGGGUUAUUUCAUCCUGAUGACGUGUGCAUCAAGAGCAAAGCCGCUCAAUUCAAAGUAGAUUCACUGCUUCAGUUGAAUAAUUCAUCUCGACGGAUGAUUUAAUCCCAGCUCCACGUCACUACAGCUGCUGAAGCAGAUCAGGGUUAAACUGGAUUAAAUCAUCUCCACCUGCUGGAACUAGUUGGGUCUCUCUGUGUUUGCUUCAUUACAGCAGAACCCUGAUUUAAGCUUUAAAAAUCUUCUGUUGUCACAUAAUGUUCUGGUAAACAUUCUUUCCCCCCAAAAUACUGGCCUCUGCAGAUCUGUUUAUGUCUGACAAAUUCACGGCUAUUACUCACACACUUAUUAAAGUGUUCAAAAGGAGAAUGUGAAUCACAAGUGGAAAUGAUUAUUUCUGCCCUUAUUCAUAGCAAGACACUACAAUAGUACAUAUGCGUGGACUUUUUGUCAUACAAGAUUUUUAUUUUUAUAAAAGUAAUAAAUAUAACAGGAAGACCCACAUUUGAGUGUUGCUGCUUUGCAUCACUGUAUCUUCUGUUAAUAUUUAUUGCCCAUAUUGAAUGCCAGAGGCAAAACGUCAUGUUAAAAUCCUUCCUGAAAAAGUGCAAAAGGUCAUUAAA